rfam:Thalassiosira oceanica strain CCMP1005 To_g23496, whole genome shotgun sequence.
CAACAGGAUUUUCUCAAAUCCACCCAAACUGCAAAGUCCCACAUUAU